AUGCCCAUGUGUUGCCCUGCAGGUGGACUUUCUUUGCGUGCGCCUGUGAUGAAUGGUCUGAGCACUAGUCUUGGUUGCCCAACAUGUAAAGUGUUUGGAGGAUUUGAGAAAAUAUUAGAAUUGCACAGAUGUUAUAUUCAUGCAUUAUUCCGCACGGGGAAUAACCUGGGAGAUAAUGUCCACCUCAUACAUCGGUGGCUGCUGGGGAUAGGAUUCUGAAUGAACACAGGCCUGCUACCUUCUUCACCACAUACUCUAAAUAUACUUAUAAAAAGAAAAAAUACAAAUUCCACUGAAAGAGACCUUCUAAUUGUAUACCUGAGAGGAAAGAAUCAGCAUGAGAGAGAAUCAAAACAAUCUGCAAUCUGUGGUCAGAAGACAAACAAAAGCUAAGAAGAAAUUUCAACUAUUUCCUCUUGGUUUGUUAUCUCAGGUGCAAAACAACAGGAGCCAUCAAUUUUAAUUGAGAAAUGAAAACUGUACUUACUUUCAUGUGGAGAACAUGCCUAAUAUAAUAUAUCAAGACAAUAUUAAGAGAGGGAAAGAGAAGAGAAGCAGAGAAAUAGGGAAUGUUUUACU
rnacentral:lncRNA from 12 species